UACGUAGGAUCCAAGCGUUGUCCGGAUUUACUGGGUGUAAAGGGUGCGCAGGCGGACUGGUUAGUCUGGGGUGAAAUCUCAUCGCUUAACGGUGAAACUGCCUUAGAUACUGCCAGUCUUGAAUCAGCGAGAGGUUCGUGGAAUUCCGAGUGUAGCAGUGAAAUGUGUAGAUAUUCGGAAGAACACCAGUGGCGAAGGCAGCGAACUGGCGCUCGAUUGACGCUCAGGCACGAAAGCAUGGGGAAUCAAACAGGAGUUAGAAUGAUCCCCAGUA
rnacentral:rRNA from 1 species